rnacentral:rRNA from 1 species
GACGAACGCUGGCGGCGUGCUUAACACAUGCAAGUCGAACGGAAAGGCCCUGCUUUUGUGUGGUGCUCGAGUGGCGAACGGGUGAGUAACACGUGAGUAACCUGCCCUUGACUUUGGGAUAACUUCAGGAAACUGGUGCUAAUACCGGAUAGGUGCUCCUGCUGCAUGGUGGGGUUUGGAAAGUUUCGGCGGUUGGGGAUGGACUCGGGGGUUAUCAGCUUGUUGGUGGGGUAGUGGCUUACCAAGGGUUUGACGGGUAGCCGGCCUGAGAGGGUGGCCGGCCACAUUGGGACUGAGGUAGGGACCAGACUCGUAUGGGAGGCAGCAGUGGGGAAUAUUGCACAGUGGGCGGAAGCGUGAUGCAGCAAUGCCGCGUGCGGGAUGACGGCCUUCGGGUUGUAAACCGCUUUCGCCUGUGACGAAGCGUGAGUGACGGUAAUGGGUGAAGAAGCACCGGCUAACUACGUG